rnacentral:rRNA from 1 species
CCUACGGGGCGGCAGCAGUGGGGAAUAUUGGACAAUGGGCGAAAGCCUGAUCCAGCCAUGCCGCGUGUGUGAAGAAGGCCUUCGGGUUGUAAAGCACUUUCAGUGGGGAAGAAAGCCUUGGGGCUAAUACCCUCGAGGAAGGACAUCACCCACAGAAGAAGCACCGGCUAACUCCGUGCCAGCAGCCGCGGUAAUACGGAGGGUGCGAGCGUUAAUCGGAAUUACUGGGCGUAAAGCGCGCGUAGGCGGUCUGAUAAGCCGGUUGUGAAAGCCCCGGGCUCAACCUGGGAACGGCAUCCGGAACUGUCAGGCUAGAGUGCAGGAGAGGAAGGUAGAAUUCCCGGUGUAGCGGUGAAAUGCGUAGAGAUCGGGAGGAAUACCAGUGGCGAAGGCGGCCUUCUGGACUGACACUGACGCUGAGGUGCGAAAGCGUGGGUAGCAAACAGGAUUAGAUACCCCAGUAGUC